GAACUUUAAAAGAUAUAAAUUGAUAAAACUAUUUCUUAAAUACAAAGGAAGAAAAAUGGCUGGAAUUAUCAAGUUUAUUCUUACUAUAAUUAUCUUUAUUUCUCUAUUGAUGGUGCCAUCCAACGCUGCAAGUAAGUUAAUUUUUUAAGAUUUAAAAAAUUUCCUUGUUACUUUGUACACAAUGUUUUAUCAAAUAUUAGCUAAACUUUUAUUCUUAUUUUUUCAAUAUAGAAACUGUUAAAUGUAUACAAGAUACGGAUUGUUUACAAUAUCAUAGGUGUAUGCCACCAAUGCUAAUGAAGUGUGACAAUAAACAAUGUAGAUGUGUUCCAGUGACCUAUUUCAUUCGUUAUGUUCCCGUAUGAUUCUUCAUAUUAAGUUCUCAUAUGGUUCUGCAUUUAGUGUUGUACCUAAGAGAUUAUUGUAUUGCUAUAUUAUAAUUUGUUUUUUUAUUUUUCAUUUCAAGAAUUUUGUAGUUAAGUUUAAUUUUAUUUAAAUCGAGUUCUUCUCUUUUAAUUUCAAAAUAUAUUCAUAGAUUUCAUUCCAGGUAUGUAUCAUGGUCAUUUCAAUCCUACCAUCUAUUAGAAUAAUACGUGUAAUAGUUAAGUUGAAUAACUGUUAUAUUGCUUAUAAGUCUGCACGUUUUUUUACAUGUUCAUGUUAUAGUAUCAAUACACUUCCCACCUUCAAUUUUCAUUUCUCUUAUAUUUUAAAUCUUUUAUUGGUCUCAUAUGUACUAUUCAAUUUUAAAAGAUAUGAAAAUAUAGAUAUUCACUAUAAAAAUGUAAAAAUCUAUUGUUAUAAGUGCAUAUUUUAUAGAAGAUUUGUUUAUGUUUCUACUUACUAACUAAAUAUAAUGUGUGGUUAAUAUAUUUUCUAUUUCAAAAGAAAUCUCGUAUAACUAAAUUGAAUUAGAUUAUGUAAGGUUAUAAUUUAUUAUAAAAUUUACAUGUAAUUUAAAAUGAAUAUGUUUCAAAAGACGUUUUUUUAUAUCUUUAAUUUUCUAUGAUUUUGUUGGGUUUUUUUUGAGAGGGGUAUAUAAAUUUGCAUUAUUAUUAUUAUUAUUAUUUUUAUUUUCUAAUUUUUAUAUUUAAAUUGGGGUGUGAGUUUUCUGGUGAGUAUGGGUGGUUGAGAGUUUCGUUAAAUUUAAAUUUAUUAAAUGAUUUAGAUUAUAAAAAAAAGUGUGAGAUAGAUGAAAAUGUAAGGUUUGGGAGAUAAGAAUUUUUUUUAACUGCGUCACAUGUAUAUGUGUGUGAUCAUAUAUGUAUUAAUUGUUUUGAUAUUACAUAUAAUUGGAUAUAAAGGUAAGCUAAUGGAUUAUCAUAGUAUAUUGUUUGUCCAUAACAAUUUAAUUUUGAAGAGUCAUAGUACAUCUUAAAAAACAACAUAGUAAACAUUGUUGUUUGUAAAAAAAAUUAGUGACAGUUAAGAAGAAUUUUUAUAAGGUUCCACAUAAUUAAUGAACUAGAAUAUAAAUAUAAUACAACCUAAGAGUACAUUAAUGAGCUUUGAAUAUGUACUAAUAUACACACAAAAAAGAUAUAAAUUAUGACAUAUCAUCUACAAAAUGAUUUUAACCUUUUGAAAUUUAUAGACCAUGACCAAAACCACCGGCUCACCUCCAAAAGAAUAACACUAAGUUAGCAUCAUAUAUGGAUUAUAAUAUGUUUGACACGCCACACACAAGAGGGAGUGACUCUUGGAUUUAAGAAAAGCAUCUUAUGUUAUCAUUUUUAAAGUUUAAAAAUAUCUUGAUUAAAAUAUUUAUAAAUUAGCAACGGAAAGUAAAUAUGUGAAAAAUUAAGAGUUAAGGGUAAGAGAAAUGAAAACAAAUAUUUAAACAGGUUCAAUCAAGAAGACUUAUUCAUGUCCAUAAUAUUUGAUCUUAAGAGUAUUCAGUAAUACUUAGAGAGUUUUGAGUAGGUUAAAAUCUUGAACCCACUAAUACAAGAAAAAAUGAAGUUUCAAAUUAACUUUCAACCAAACAAUGAACGAUGGAGUGAAGUGGUUAGUCUUCCUUCCAAAGAACGAACUUGAAGUGAUUAGUCUCAAAGCUAAAUCGUGAUUUUCUAUGGACUUGUCUCGAACCAAUAUGAGUUUUUAAUCUAACUAAAUUGGGGUUUUGACCAGACUGACCAUGAACCAAGAUGAGAUUUUUAAUCAUGCUUAUCUUGAACCAAAGUGAGUUUUUAACCAUGUUUAAAUCAUGAACUGAGUUGAUAUUUUGAAUAUGGUUGAUAUCAAGCCAAAGUAAGCUUUUAACGUAGGUUGAGCUUAAAAGCCGAACUGACGACUUAGAAACUAAAUCUCCAAACCAAAGCUUUUAAAGGGUUUAACUUUUAAAGAGUGAUGAAUGAGAUACAAGGAUCACUUUUAUGGAUAUGAAAAUGUGAAAGAAAAUGCCUCUAUUUAUAGGCUAAAGCUUUGAUCAAAAAAGGAAAUAUCCAUGGGCCUAAAUUAAUGAGCCAAAAUAAACAAUGUAGAUGUGUUCCAGUGACCUAUUUCAUUCGUUAUGUUCCCGUAUGAUUCUUCAUAUUAAGUUCUCAUAUGGUUCUGCAUUUAGUGUUGUACCUAAGAGAUUAUUGUAUUGCUAUAUUAUAAUUUGUUUUUUUAUUUUUCAUUUCAAGAAUUUUGUAGUUAAGUUUAAUUUUAUUUAAAUCGAGUUCUUCUCUUUUAAUUUCAAAAUAUAUUCAUAGAUUUCAUUCCAGGUAUGUAUCAUGGUCAUUUCAAUCCUACCAUCUAUUAGAAUAAUACGUGUAAUAGUUAAGUUGAAUAACUGUUAUAUUGCUUAUAAGUCUGCACGUUUUUUUACAUGUUCAUGUUAUAGUAUCAAUACACUUCCCACUUUCAAUUUUCAUUUCUCUUAUAUUUUAAAUCUUUUAUUGGUCUCAUAUGUACUAUUCAAUUUUAAAAGAUAUGAAAAUAUAGAUAUUCACUAUAAAAAUGUAAAAAUCUAUUGUUAUAAGUGCAUAUUUUAUAGAAGAUUUGUU
rnacentral:lncRNA from 1 species